rnacentral:rRNA from 1 species
GACAGAGGGUGCGAACGUUGCUCGGAAUUACUGGGCGUAAAGCGCGUGUAGGCGGGUGCGCAAGUCCGUUGUGAAAUCCCUGGGCUCAACCCAGGAACUGCAUCGGAAACUGCGUGUCUUGAGUAAUGGAGAGGGAAGUGGAAUUCCCGGUGUAGAGGUGAAAUUCGUAGAUAUCGGGAGGAACACCUGUGGCGAAGGCGGCCCCCUGGUUGGAUACUGACGCUGAUACGCGAAAGCGUGGGGGAGCAAACAGGG